rnacentral:sRNA from 1 species
GAUGCCAGGGUCGAAAAGUCUUUUACCCAACAUGAGCUUGCUCAUAGUUGGGUAAAAGACCUUGAGACCCGCCCCGAUAUGAGCAUAAAAGCGAAGCGCAAGCUACGCGAUAUGCGAAUACCGGGUAGGAGUGCGGGAGUGCGAAGCACGGAGCAGUCCGCAGGCAU